rnacentral:snRNA from 1 species
AAAGUCAUCUUUGCGCUUGGGGCAAUGACGCAGCUAAUGAGGUACUAACCGAGGCGCGUCUAUUGCUGGUUGAAAACUAUUUCCAAACCCCCUCCUGGGCCUAAGCUUGUCUUGGGCCUUCGAGAAUUUCUGGAAGGGCUCCCUUUGGGGUAA